rnacentral:rRNA from 1 species
AGUGGCGAACGGGUGAGUAAAGUAUCGGAACGUGCCCAGUCGUGGGGGAUAACGUAGCGAAAGUUACGCUAAUACCGCAUACGAUCUAUGGAUGAAAGCGGGGGAUCGCAAGACCUCGCGCGAUUGGAGCGGCCGAUAUCAGAUUAGGUAGUUGGUGGGGUAAAGGCUCACCAAGCCGACGAUCUGUAGCUGGUCUGAGAGGACGACCAGCCACACUGGGACUGAGACACGGCCCAGACUCCUACGGGAGGCAGCAGUGGGGAAUUUUGGACAAUGGGCGCAAGCCUGAUCCAGCCAUGCCGCGUGCAGGAUGAAGGCCUUCGGGUUGUAAACUGCUUUUGUACGGAACGAAAAGGUUUGGCCUAAUAAGCUGAGCUCAUGACGGUACCGUAAGAAUAAGCACCGGCUAACUACGUGCCAGCAGCCGCGGUAAUACGUAGGGUGCGAGCGUUAAUCGGAAUUACUGGGCGUAAAGCGUGCGCAGGCGGUUAUGUAAGACAGAUGUGAAAUCCCCGGGCUCAACCUGGGAACUGCAUUAGUGACUGCAUAGCUGGAGUACGGCAGAGGGGGAUGGAAUUCCGCGUGUAGCAGUGAAAUGCGUAGAUAUGCGGAGGAACACCGAUGGCGAAGGCAAUCCCCUGGGCCUGUACUGACGCUCAUGCACGAAGCGUGGG